rnacentral:lncRNA from 1 species
CCCAGGGAAAAGGAGAGCCAGGCUUAGGGCCCAUGGCAAAAGUCAGGAAAUUUCAUGAUCCGACUGGAAUCCAGGAAAAUCACAGCUGAAAUACAAAACAUCAGCCCUUAUCUCCAGCACUGUACAUGGCAGAAACUGCUUUUAUUCUAGAUGUCUAGAUCCAGAUCAACUGCAUGGGGUCCUACAGGAGAAGACCAAGAGACAGAGACAGAGACCAGGGAAAAUGACCGAUACCAUUCCUUCUCAGGGAUGCUACACACCCAUGGGGCAGAGGAUAAGAGGUUCCUGAAGGCAUCACCCCUCUGGCCAUGGCUGGUGUGCAGACAAAGCUGGAGAUUUGGAGUAGCCUGUUGUCCCACUGACUCUUAGACUGCCCCAGCUAAGAAGAACCAACUCCUCCUAUUACAGAUGAAAUAAACAAAGCUACUCAAGCUCUCUGGCAUCGCCCUGACGGUCAUCAUGUGCUUCACAUUUCCCUCCUGCCCCCCCUGAUUUUCUGGAAAAGGGAGAAAGUGUGUGAAAAAAAAUGGACAAUAACUUCUGUUAACUUUGUAGAUGUCUGGUUCCUCCAUAUGAGGCUGUGCUUGAAUCAAUUUUGGAGAGAGGGUUUCUAAAGUCUCUCUAGAUUCUAUUAAUUUUGAUAGAGACAAUAAAAGGCAGCAGGACCAACUCUGUGUGGUGGGAGAUCUAGCAACCAUUAUAGUCACAAUAGCCACCACUUACUGAACACCCACCAUGUGACAAAGAACAAAUGUGCAUGAAUUAUGUCACAUUUUUCACAAGCACCCCUUGAGUUGGGAGUUCACUCAUGAGGCAACUGAGGUUCAGGGAGAUGAAGUAACUCACCCUGUAGGUAGGAGGGCUGAGAUCUGGACGUAGAUCUUUCCUCCAAAGCUUUGUCUUUUUUUUUCUACUAUAGCACACCAAAGAGAGUUCUAGAAAAAAUGAGAAUAAGAAAUUUACCUGUAAUCCUUGCUCAAGAAACUGAAGCUCUGAGGCCACAUUGUUCCAGCCUUUUGCAGCUCCUGCAUGUGGAUACCAGCACCAGCAGCUCCCCGACCAGGGGCCCCAGCUAAGCCCUCCCAGAGGAUGAUCUUGGCUUUGUACAUGGGGUGUCAAUAUCCUGUGAGUCCAACAGAGGGAAGACAUAAGAAUAUGGUCACCCAGGUUUUGUACAGAGGAAAUCCAGGCUCCUAACGAUGGCGAAAGAUGGGAAUAAAAGGAUCAGAACACUGAGCUGGAUCUUCAGUUCAUUUCAGGUAUGGAGAAGGGUAAAUGGUCUUUAAAGAAGGCCGACCUCAAUGAAGGUGUCUUCCAAGGCCUUGUCCACUCAAGGACAUGUUGCAUGCCUGAAACUGAGUAUACAGGAAAAGGAUAGAAAUGGAAUAAAAUGGAAACCCAUAAAUCACACUACCCUGCUAUGCAGUUUCAAACCACUGACUUAAUGAAAUGUUGAUCCACUUUGCCAUGGAUGCCCCACUUUUUAACUCCUUCUUCAGAGUCCCAGGAGGUGAGGCUCUUCUGUUUAACUGAUUUGCAGAAUUUUUGCUUCUGCUAUUACAAUGGCUUCCAUAGUUGAGUACCAAAGACACUUUACUAUGGUGCCACAGAGAUCAUUUUGCAGAUGAGGAAACAGACUGUUCUACUACCCAGGCUUUGGUUUUUUCUACUCAGUCUUGCACAAUCUCUCACUCUCAGCCCAGAACAUUGCUGCAUUUUUGUGAGCCAUCAGCAUCCAAAGUGAACACAGGGUCUAAAUAACUGAAGAUGGCAUGAGGGAACACACAAUCAGGUCUUUAAAAAAAGAAGAAAGUGAAUAGGCAAACUGAACAGGACAUCUAGGACUGAAAAGCCUCUGUGAACAACUGGACUCAAUAUGAAAUUGGCGUGAGCUCACAGAAGACCAGCUGAGUUCCAGAUGUGGUUGGGUAGCUUGGGUUAUGGGCCCGUAUAAAAAAAAUGGUCUCUUCUUGUAAAAGGAAUUCAAAAAAAGACUAAAAGUCACCCCAAAGAGUCACUGUCUUUGUCUUUUGGCCAUUAGUAAGUCAGAAGAGACCUCUAGAGGAGACUGGAUUUUGUGGCUGAUUAUCGAUUAAUUGAUCAUCACUGGGUAUCUUUGGGAGUGUUGCCUUCUCAGGGAGAAGCUGAAAAUCAUUCUGUGAAAGGUAUGUCCACUGACAAUCAUUUAAGCUCUUUGGAGGCAAGAAAUCAGGUAUCUGGGAGAACUCAGAGAUAACAUAGGAGCGACAGGCUGAAACCAUGAGCGAGAUGGGCAGAUGGCUUGAGAAUGACGAUGGGCAGAGGAGAGCAGUGGCAGGGAGAACCCACAGGCCUCUACUUGGAGUCAGCCUGUCAGCAGGAUAAGCUACAAGAUCACCCUCGAGGGAAACUGCAGGCCAGGUCAGGGGCACUGCAAGCUGCAGGUGUGCCCAGGCAGGAGGGCAGGUGGCCUGUGAUGAGGGGCCAUGACUGUGUGGUGGGCUCUCCCACACCAGGAGCAACUAGACACUAGACUGAAAGUUCUUUUAAGUGAGGGAGCCAUCUUCUGUCCAGGGAAAAGUGGUUCGGGAUACAGGAGGAGCCCUGCACCACAGAAUCGGUCUAGUCUCAGGCUGUCUGUUCCACAGGAGCCUCCAGCCCAGUGAUGUAGGCAGCUAUUCACAACCACAUCAUGGCACAAAGUGAGGCCUCCCAAUCCACAGCCAUCCCUGAUUACAGACACUUCACUGGAUGUCUGAACAUAGCUGUGUGUGCCUGGAAAGCCUAGAAAUAGAAACGCUCCUUUUUUCCCCAAGACGAUCAUCUCUACAUCCUGACCUGGAUCAACAGUGAUCCAUUCUGGACAAUCCUGGACACUCCUGCUCCUGGAGAGAAGGGAUAGAUAACUUUUCCACCUGCCUGCCUGUCCUGUCCACCUCGAGGUGGUCUUGUGGCAUCUUGGGCCUCACAUGUCCCAUAGUCUCUUCUCAUCCCUCCAAUUUGCUCCUUCUCCAGACUUCUCUCUCUUGGUUGAGUGGUUCCACCAUUUUCCCAAGUUGCUUGGACCCAACACUUGAGUUACAGCCAACUCCUCUCUUUCUCUCACAACCCAAAUCUAAUUCAUCAGUAAGUCCUGGUGGCUCCACAUUCGGAAUGUUCCUGGGAUGCCACCACUUUUUGUCAUCUCUGUUACUGCUAGCCUGCCCCUUGCUACUGUCAGCUCCAGCCUGGAGGACUGAAAUAACCUCCUCACUGUCUCCAGCUGUUCUUCCCGCCCAUGGUCUAUUCCCCAGACACCACCAGAGGGAUGCUUUGAAGUCCAGAUGGCAUCAUGUCAUUUAGAAUGAAACCUGAGGUCCCAAGUGUGGCCCGAGGGAUGGUCAGGUUGCCCCCAGGGCUCCAUUUCCUGCCACUCUUCCUCUCUCUCACUCUGCUGGAGCCACAUGGUUACUAUUCCUGAACACAGGAGGCUCCCUCCUGCUUCAGGUCUCGUGCAGAUUUGUUCCCACAGCCUGGGGACAGAUUUUAUCCCAGAAGUUCCCAGGGCUUGAUUCCUCCCUUUAUUUAGUUCUCAGCUGAAAUGUCCCCUCUUCUGAGCAGCCUUCUCUCACCACCCGAUGGAAGCAGCCGUCCCUGCACGCUCUAUCACUUCACUCGGCUCUAUUUUUCUUCCUAACACGUUCACAACUUGACAUUCUUUUAUAAUUUUUCACUUAUUUAUUGAGUGCUGUCUCUUCCACUAGAACCCCUGAAAGCAGGGAUUUUUAUAAUCUUUUGGCCACCACUAGAUUCAUAAGGAUGCACAGAGCCUGGUAGGCUGCAGGCUGUCCAUAACUGCUUGUUGAAUGAAUCGAUGGAUGAAUGAUCAGCAGAAGCUCGUUUCUCUCCAUGAAAUACAACGGGUUCCAAAGAAAUCGAAGCCUUUUUGAAAGGCCUAGCCAUACUUCACCCAUACAGCUGCAGUGGCAGAUCCAUGCUCAUGACCUCAUUUCUCUCC